UAGGUGGUUUGUCGCGUUGUUCGUGAAAACUCACAGCUUAACUGUGGGCGUGCGGGCGAUACGGGCAGACUGGAGUACUGCAGGGGAGACUGGAAUUCCUGGUGUAGCGGUGGAAUGCGCAGAUAUCAGGAGGAACACCGGUGGCGAAGGCGGGUCUCUGGGCAGUAACUGACGCUGAGGAGCGAAAGCGUGGGGAGCGAACAGGAUUAGAUACCCUGGUAGUCCACGCCGUAAACGGUGGGUACUAGGUGUGGGUUUCCUUCCUUGGGAUCCGUGCCGUAGCUAACGCAUUAAGUACCCCGCCUGGGGAGUACGGCCGCAAGGCUAAAACUCAAAGGAAUUGACGGGGGCCCGCACAAGCGGCGGAGCAUGUGGAUUAAUUCGAUGCAACGCGAAGAACCUUACCUGGGUUUGACAUGCACAGGACGCCGGCAGAGAUGUCGGUUCCCUUGUGGC
rnacentral:rRNA from 1 species